GGUUGAAUCUGCCGGAGGUCAUUGCUAUUGGAGUCCGAUUUAGCCAUGCUAGUUGCACGAGUUCAGACUCGUAGCAGAUAGCUCAGUAACACGUGGCCAAACUACCCUAUGGAUCCGAAUAACCUCGGGAAACUGAGGCUAAUUCGGAAUACGAUUCACCGCCUGGAGUGGUGUGAAUCCGAAACGCUCCGGCGCCAUAGGAUGUGGCUGCGGCCGAUUAGGUAGACGGUGGGGUAACGGCCCACCGUGCCCAUAAUCGGUACGGGUUGUGAGAGCAAGAGCCCGGAGACGGUAUCUGAGACAAGAUACCGGGCCCUACGGGGCGCAGCAGGCGCGAAACCUUUACACUGCACGAAAGUGCAAUAAGGGGACUCCAAGUGCGAGGGCAUAUAGUCCUCGCUUUUUGCGACCGUAAGGUGGUCGCGGAAUAAGUGCUGGGCAAGACCGGUGCCAGCCGCCGCGGUAAUACCGGCAGCACGAGUGAUGACCGCUAUUAUUGGGCCUAAAGCGUCCGUAGCUGGCCAUGCAAGUCCAUCGGGAAAUCCGCGCGCUUAAGGGGCGGGCGUCCGGUGGAAACUGCAUGGCUUGGGACCGGAAGACCAGAGGGGUACGUCCGGGGUAGGAGUGAAAUCCCGUAAUCCUGGACGGACCACCGGUGGCGAAAGGCCCUCUGGAAGACGGAUCCGACGGUGAGGGACGAAAGCUCGGGUCACGAACCGGAUUAGAUACCCGGGUAGUCCGAGCUGUAAACGAUGUCUGCUAGGUGUGGCACAGGCUACGAGCCUGUGCUGUGCCGCAGGGAAGCCGUGAAGCAGACCGCCUGGGAAGUACGUCC
rnacentral:rRNA from 1 species